rnacentral:tRNA from 1 species
GCGGAUGUGGCGGAAUUGGCAGACGCGCUAGAAUCAGGCUCUAGUGUCCUUUACCGGACGUGGGGGUUCGACUCCCUUCAUCCGCACCA